GCAUUAGUGGUUCAGUGGUAGAAUUUUCAUCACCAUGCAGGAGGCCUGGGUUUGAUUCCCAGCCAAUGCA
rnacentral:tRNA from 1 species